GAUGAACGCUGGCGGCGUGCCUAAUACAUGCAAGUCGAGCGAACAGACGAGGAGCUUGCUCCUCUGACGUUAGCGGCGGACGGGUGAGUAACACGUGGAUAACCUACCUAUAAGACUGGGAUAACUUCGGGAAACCGGAGCUAAUACCGGAUAAUAUAUUGAACCGCAUGGUUCAAUAGUGAAAGACGGUUUUGCUGUCACUUAUAGAUGGAUCCGCGCCGCAUUAGCUAGUUGGUAAGGUAACGGCUUACCAAGGCGACGAUGCGUAGCCGACCUGAGAGGGUGAUCGGCCACACUGGAACGGAGACACGGUCCAGACUCCUACGGGAGGCAGCAGUAGGGAAUCUUCCGCAAUGGGCGAAAGCCUGACGGAGCAACGCCGCGUGAGUGAUGAAGGUCUUCGGAUCGUAAAACUCUGUUAUUAGGGAAGAACAAAUGUGUAAGUAACUAUGCACGUCUUGACGGUACCUAAUCAGAAAGCAACGGCUAACUACGUG
rnacentral:rRNA from 1 species